rnacentral:lncRNA from 1 species
AUGUCAGUACCUCCAUCGCCCUUGAGUUACUAACCAGUGGGUUCCAGCCGUCAGCAUCCUCCCUCCCUCCUUGCUGACGCCAUCCCUCUAAUUAAAUGCGCAAUAAAUCAUUAAGGUUUUCCUGUUUAGUUUAAAACAUAGAAAAAUUCUAAAAUUCAUAACUAAUUCAUCUACUCUCCAUUUUAGUCCAUUCAAAUUUCAUCAAAUCCAGAAAAAUGCCAAGAAUCCAUUAAAAAUAGUUUUUUUUCCUCUGUUUCAGUAGUUUUAUAGUUUGUUUUUUGCUUGUUUUAUCUUGUUUGUCGUAGGUUUUGACCCCGUUGCAACGCCGAUCGUCCUCGAAGUCAUCGCCAAAGUUCCUCAUGGGUCAUAGCAAGGCAAGUGGCACCCCAUCCUUGAACAUAUUGAUCCUAAAAUUAUAAAAUCCUCGAUUCACAUUCAAAUAUGCAUUGUAUUUAAAUGUAUUUACUUUAUUUAUCUAUUGGGCUAUUACCUUUAUAUCCGUUGUUUCUCACUUAUUGUUAUUGUCAUCCCAGGGAUAAUUUGACUAGAAAUAGGCUUAGGUAAUGCUUAGCCGUGCUUAGUUCAACUAGCUCACAUGUUGUCAUUUAAUUAUUGCUAGACUUUGAUAGACCUUUAAUGGUUGCAAUCAUGCUUAAUUACCCGGUGAGGGGUAAUAAUAACUAAAAUAUUGCUUAUGGUGGCUGUGGGUGCAUGGUUAUGAGAGUCGCGACUAUAGCAAUUAAGGAUCGGUUAUCGAGAAACACUGGAAGUCUUACGCAUCCUAACCAGAAGCCGAGCAUGGCCAAGGUGGGAUUUGAAGCUUAGCUUUGAACUAUUUGAUGUACCAAGGCAAGGGUGGGCGUGGUGGAGUAUGGAUGAGAGUCGUGGUGCAACGAUGGCCUAUGCUGCUUUUGGAUUCACCAAGGCACAAGAGAGACUGCCGCUUUGGUCUAAAGGAGGGGAUGAAACCUGAAGUGCGGUGCGAUUAAAUAGGGAGGCUUAUGUGACGGGUCCUAUCAUGGUCUCGUUUCCGGUGUGUCAUGGUGGCACGUCGAUGCACGUUCAAGUGCAGUGGAGUCAUGUCUUGUAGGUAAAGUUGUACACCUCUAAUCAGAGUAAAACUAUUCUGAUAGUCGUGCCUGUGGUUAUGGGGCGAACUGACAGAUUCACUGGGAUUAGUCAAACCUUUAAUAAAUUGAUGAACUUGGAACUGGUUUGACCUUGCGCAAUGUGGUGUAACAUUGGACAGUGGUUUGGGUAUAUCGCAACAUGGUGUAACGUUGGGCAGAGGGUUGACCAUGUCGUUAUGUGGUGUAACGUUCCAUAGCGGUCUGGGCCUGUUGCAACAUGGCGUAACGUUGGACAAUGGAUGAUUAUUUUAAAUGUCUACUUUACUCGUUUUAUUCUAUUUUUAUUUAUCGGUUUUGCUAAAUUACUGCAGCUUUGUGCAAUUUAACCUUACCCUACCCUCGAUACCCUAUUGCAUUCAUUAUUCUUUCUCUCUUAGGUGUUAGUUGCUGAGUACGGUGGUUUGUACUUAGCCUUGCUUAAUUUUUCCUCGACCAGAGUAAGAGCCAGAACCGUUGUCAGAAGGAGGUAGUUCCGAAGGUUGAAGUGAGGUUUAGUGCGCCAUCAAGAAUGCUUGUGGUGUGGAGCCAUCAUCGCCAGCUGAAGCUGAAGAUUAAAUGGUUCUAGUCUUGUUUUUCUUUUCUGCUGUAUUUCGAUAGAACAUUGUUUUUAUUUGUUUUAGGUCGUGAAAUUGUGUAUUAAUUUGCCAUAGGGUAUACUCAGACUGAUUCCUGGAC